CAGUUCGGAUUGUAGUCUGCAACCCGACUACAUGAAGCUGGAAUCGCUAGUAAUCGCGGAUCAGAAUGCCGCGGUGAAUACGUUCCCGGGUCUUGUACACACCGCCCGUCACACCAUGGGAGUCGGAAAUGCCCGAAGUCAGUGACCUAACCGAAAGGAAGGAGCUGCCGAAGGUGGAGCCGGUAACUGGGGUGAAGUCGUAACAAGGUAUC
rnacentral:rRNA from 1 species